UACGGGGGGAGCAAGCGUUGUUCGGAUUUACUGGGCGUAAAGGGCGCGUAGGCGGCCAGCACAAGUCAGUUGUGAAAUCUCCGAGCUUAACUCGGAAAGGUCAACUGAUACUGUGCGGCUAGAGUGCGGAAGGGGCAACUGGAAUUCUUGGUGUAGCGGUGAAAUGCGUAGAUAUCAAGAGGAACACCUGCGGCGAAGGCGGCUUUCUGGUCCGAUUCUGACGCUGAGGCGCGAAAGCGUGGGGAGCGAUCCGG
rnacentral:rRNA from 1 species